UUAAAUGCAAAGAAAGAGAGUAGUAUGCUUUAAACCGCCAUUCAGGGAGAAAAUGCCUUAGACUGUAAGCAUUUUUAUGGAAGGAAAAGCAGAAUUCACUCUGGAGCAGGCACUGGACCACAAUGUUUCUUUGUGAAGGUGUUUCCGGUUUAAAGCCGUUAAAGCAAUGAAGAUAAUGAAAGAGAGAUCUUUCAUUAAUAAGGGUGGUACCACGAGUCUUCGUCCCUUUU
rnacentral:ncRNA from 1 species